ensembl:lncRNA
GUUCCAGAUGUAUGCUAGAGUAAACAGCAUUGCAUUACUUCCCCGGUGUCCUCAUUUGGGACCUGAACCUCUGGUUUCUUGCUUCCAGGACAGAAGGGAGGAGCCAAGCUGACAGGAUUGCUGUGUUCUCUGCAAGAAUCAGUUGCCCAAGAUGCAGCUGUCACCUGAUUAUAAAUCUCCUAACACCUGGGGAGCAAGGCACAGGCCAUGGAUGAAGAUUUUCCCGGGUGGGGACACAAACAGGCUGAGCCUCUGCUGUUCUCCCUGGUCUAUCAACCUCACAGGCAGGUAACUGGCUCCACAGCACAAACAGCUUUCAGCAGGGGGAGGUAAAGAGAUAAGGGCGUCUUUCUCAAUUUCUCUGUUUCAGUUUCUCUGUGGUACACAGUUUAGGACAACUGUGCCUGCUUAGCGGCUUGGUGCGCUGGGGCAAGACCUUCUGCAGCCAGCUGGCUCUGCAUUUUAAAAGUCUCCCAGGCACUUAAAUCAGCCAAUCCUGGUUUGGCAACCACCACCCACCCUCCAAAAAUCACAAGCACGCUGGGGUUGGGGUGGGGAACAGUAUAAAUGUGUCAUUCCUAAAAACAGAAAGUAAAUGUUCCCACAGAAGAGGAAAUGGAGAGUCUGUCAGCAGCCAGGAAAAGGAAACCUAAGGCAGAUCAUGGCUGAGCAGAUGUAGAAGAGCCUAGACAAUUCAGUCACUGCAGGGUGAGGGCUGCUGGAUCACUGGGGAAGGUACUGGUCUGGCUUCUGAGUACUUGGGACAGGGCUCCCUGAGGAUGACCUCGUGCUGGUCCUGAUUGGACCUGGAUUUCCAGAGGACUGGAGUUCAUCUGCAUCCUGUCGGCCACAGUCAGGGAGUGGCUAAAAACACACAGACAAGCCCAGACACCACUGAGCUGCCUCCCUUCUAGCUGUGCUGGCCCUGGUCACCCUGACACCUUAAAACUGCCUGCAUUGAGCAAAGGGAAUUUCCCCUGCUGGCUCAGAAAUCUUGCAGAAACCUGGAGGCCCGGCUAAAGAGGAACUGGUGGCCAUUUACUGACAGAAAUCUGCCCCACCCAGAAGCAGCUGAUCUUGUUCUGAGACCAUAGCAGCGAGGAGCCUUUGAUCUCCAUCCUGGAUGAAUGUUAAUUCCAGAUAGAAGCCAUCCUUAGAUGGGAUGGGUGGUGGGUGUGUGGACGGCAGAUACAGAAAGGGGAUGACAGGAAGACCAACAGCAAUCCAGGCAGCAAAACCUUGUAGUUGUCUGUAUGAGUCAGGACUACACAUAACGGGGCAAUCACACUCCGGGAUGCGUCCAGACCUGGAGACAUGUGGAACCCUCUGGUCAGGUUAUGGCUAUCCCUGCUCACCAAGUCUGGCAACUCAACAUCCAGCAGUGCCCUUGCACUAGUUAAGAAAAAGCAACUGAAUUUGCAAAAGGGAGCUGCAAUGUUGGCUGAAUGUAAGCAGCAGCAGAAUCAAUCCCAUCACUGCCAAGACACAGUUGCUGAUGCAGGAUUCUGAACUUCAGAGGAAACAAAGUAAUUCUCCCUGUGGAGACAUUGAACCUGAGAUCAAAGAAGCUUUGAGGAGAGAAAGAGGCUGAGAGCAGAACUGCACCAGGCCAUUCAGAAAGGGUAUCUUGAAGAGAACUCCUGGAGUUUGGUUGUAAAGCAAGGCGUGGAACCAGAAAUAACCUGAGAACUUGCUGGUGUUGCAGUCUUCCAAGAGCUGCAAGAAAUAUCCGGGUACCCAGAGGUGGUAGUGAAACUACAGCACCUCGAACACAUGCACCCUGAUUGUAAUUGAUAGCUAUAAGCAUGGAAGAUUUGUCAUUCUUUAUAAAUAUGUUGUUUCAUUCAUUCUUCCAUCCAAUUUCCAUUCAUUCAUUCUGUGGUGGUUUAAAGGAAGGUGGUCCUCACAGGCUCAUAUUUGAAUGGUUGGUUCCUAGUAGGUUAAACUCUUUUUGAAAGAUAAGGAGGUGUUCUCAUUUUUGGAAGGAAGUGAUUCUAAAUGUUUCUCCCUCCCCCUCUCCCUCCCCUCCCCCUGCUCCUCCCUCUCUUCAUCUUCCUGUGUCCCUCUCCCUCUUCCCAUCUCUCUGACCUGUUAAUCUGUCUCUCUGUCUCUUGCUCACUCCUUCCCUUCUGGUGGUGCUGCCAUCUGGUGGUGAAACACGAUGUGAACAAUCUCAGCCAUUCCUUCCCUCUGCUGUCAAGGGUUCUAACUCUGUGAAACCAUAAUCCACACUAACCCCUUCUUUCACAAGUUGCUUUGAUCUGGAUUAUGUUGUUUUAUCAGAGCCAAGGAAAAGUGACAGAUACACGCACCCUUUUCUGUUUGCCCACAUGUGAAGCCGCUUGUCCUUGAUUUCAUGUAGCUCUGUGUUCUCUUUCUAGCUCUGACCCCUUCCACCUCUCAAACAUCCCUGAGAUCAUUAGGCAACUUUUCCCCACACAUUUUCCUGAGGGACUCACAUGUGACAAGAAGAAAACACGAUUUCAUGUAUCCAGCAAGCUUUAACACACAAAUGAGAGACAAUGGAUAUCUGUCAUCUGGAGACUUGGUCAUCCAUUGGGUGUGGCUGUCUCCAGGCACAAGCAUCUUUAAGCAGACAGUACAACUUCAUCCUUCUUGUGAAGAACAAUAAUUGCUACACAUCUGAUCCCCACUCCCUCUUCAUUCAGUCUUUCACCAGAGGAAAGAUAUAUCAUUGGUUAUAUCACUUAGCAUUUAGAAACAGAGCUGCACGUAGGGUCACUGGUUAAGUAUCUCUGGGGUGUGUUGAUUCUCAGGUCCCCAAGAAUAUUGGACAUGCAAAUGGUAUUCAGCCAUUCAUGGGGAUUUAACACCUAGAGAGAUAAAGUAAACCUCCAACCAACAAAAGCACCAAACCAAACCAGGUAAAUGCAUUAGCAACCAGAUGCAGCAUUUUUUGAGUUAUAUCUUUAAAAACUGUAAAUGUGCAUAGAGACCGCUACAGUGUCAAGUCAGGCACACAGUGAAAACUGUGAAGGCUCAUAGAACGUGGCUGCACUGCAGUCUUAUGAGGGAGUCCCAGAGAGAUCCCUUAGUGCUACUGUAGGAGAAGCUGAGGUAUCAAACCAGACCAGUGACUCAUUGCAAUGAACAUUCUCAGGUGAAGCUGUGUGCACAAAGGGGUUUACUAUGUGACACAAUGUGACAUACCACAGCUGUCAUAUAGGGAUGUUUUAUUCAUGUAUUCAUUUUUAUUUUGCAGGAUUUCAAG